AGGGGUGAACCGGCCCAGGUCGGA
rnacentral:piRNA from 2 species